GGGCGAGGGUGUGAUUCCGCCGUUCUCGACGUCGCGCCGGGUUGGAUUUAGCUACCGAGAGCCUGCUGUUCCGGCUACUGCGUCUUCAGAGGCUGAUCGAGGCAAGGGCAUCGCGAGCUAGAGCCCUACCCGACGAAUCGCCGUGCUAGAGGAUCACCAGCUGCAGGUAGUAGUGUUUUUUAUUUUGAGCUUAUGUAUUUACUGAUACUAGAACUCGCUGGAGCGAGUGUUUUUGUACUUGUUAGUUUGUAUGUAUAUGAGAUUUGUUCAUUCUACCUGCUUAGUUCUUUUUAGCUCUACACUAUUGUUUGUAGUAUUGUAUAUUUUACAGAUACAGCUAUCGCUUCGUAUAUAGAAAAAAUUUCUUUGUAUACGGCGGAUUUGUCGGCGUGCCAGGGGAACGUGUAAUCCGGGGCGUGACAUUGUUUGUUUUUGUAGCCAUGAAAGUAAAGUUCUUUCAAUUUCCUUAUUUA